AGAGUUUGAUCCUGGCUCAGGACGAACGCUGGCGGCGUGCCUAAUACAUGCAAGUCGAGCGGACAGAAGGGAGCUUGCUCCCGGAUGUUAGCGGCGGACGGGUGAGUAACACGUGGGUAACCUGCCUGUAAGACUGGGAUAACUCCGGGAAACCGGAGCUAAUACCGGAUAGUUCCUUGAACCGCAUGGUUCAAGGAUGAAAGACGGUUUCGGCUGUCACUUACAGAUGGACCCGCGGCGCAUUAGCUAGUUGGUGAGGUAACGGCUCACCAAGGCGACGAUGCGUAGCCGACCUGAGAGGGUGAUCGGCCACACUGGGACUGAGACACGGCCCAGACUCCUACGGGAGGCAGCAGUAGGGAAUCUUCCGCAAUGGACGAAAGUCUGACGGAGCAACGCCGCGUGAGUGAUGAAGGUUUUCGGAUCGUAAAGCUCUGUUGUUAGGGAAGAACAAGUGCAAGAGUAA
rnacentral:rRNA from 1 species